UGUGUGUGUAAGAGGAAGAUCAGCAGUUUUGUGCUCACACUAAUUCUGAGAACUGGACAUUGGGAACACAUUUAGAUGAACUUUUCAUGAACAGAGAAAUGAAAUCAGUGAAGAAGCUCAUCAUCAUUUACUCUCUAUUUCAAGCUGUUUUGUGUAGAGAAUUCUCCAUCAGUCUACCAGAGAGGACAGAAGCACUGAGAGGACUCUGUGUUCUCAUACCCUGCAGUUUUCAGAUUGAAAAAGGAUUUGACGAAGACCUCCAGGGAAAUCCUACAGGAAUCUGGUUAACAAAUGGCACUAAAGAGAAUAACAAAGUCUUUAACUCUAAAGUAGCUACAGAGAACAAGAUUGAAGGUGAAAUUAUUGGAGAUCUCCUCAUGAAGAACUGCACCACCAUCUUCUACAACAUCAGUGAGAGUGACAGAGGAAAAUAUUACUUUAGAUUAGAGGCUUUGGGACGUCUAAAAAACACUUAUAGACCAUCAGUAUCAGUAAGAGUUCGAGCAUCUCCAAUCAGACCCUCAAUAACACUGUAUAAGGAGGAUCAGGGGGAGGUGGUGGACCACAAUGAGGUGGAGGAGGGAACUUCACUGAGUCUCAUUUGCUCUGCUCGAUCUCCAUGUCCCUUCAAACCCCCUAUUAUUACAUGGAGCUUCCUGCCUGAGGAGAGAAGACAGGAGCAGAACCACAACACCAGCUUCAGCUCCUCAAAGCUGAACUUCAACGUUACUCACCUGCAUCAUGGACUCGAUUUCACCUGCACUGCCACCUACCAGCUCCAGAACCUUAACAAAUCAGUACAGAGCUCUCGUACUCUACAUGUUCUGUAUGGUCCUAGAAACACAUCAGUAUCAGUGUCUCCAUCUGAUUCAGUACUUUUGGGCAGUUCAGUGUCUCUGAGUUGUAGCAGUGAUGCAAACCCAGCAGUGCUGAACUACACCUGGUACAGAGAGAACGGAGAGCAGAUAGGAACCGGAGACCAUCUCACCAUCAACACGACUGAUUCUACACACAGUGGUUUAUAUUACUGUAGAGCUCAAAACCAGCACGGAGAUCACAACACAUCUGUGUUCCUGGAUGUUCAGUAUGCUCCUCGGGUCUCUCCAUCCUCCAGCUGUAACAGCACUCAGGAUUUGAUCAUGUGUUCCUGUGAGGUUCAUGGAAACCCAUCUCCUACACUGCAGUGGAGUCUCUCUGGACAAACUGUUCACCUCUCUGAGGCCACACAGAUCAGAGAGGAACCUGUGGGUGACUCGGGUUUAAAAAGCUCUAUCUCCAUCCAAAAAUCAGUUAAGAACGUACACACUCUGCAGUGUGUUGGCUCCAAUAGGCAGGGCAUUGCAUCACAACUCUUCUUGUCCUUUAUUAACAAAGCUCCGUGGGCUGCUGGAGUUGUAGAUGUUUCCUCUGUGCUGAUUGGUGCUGCUGUUGGAGCUUCAGUAAUGAUGGUACUGUGUGGUAUAUUCCUGUGUUUAAGGAAAUCGACUCCUUCUGGACGAGGAGAAGCAGUAGGACUCAACACGGUGGAGCAUCAGGAGGAAGAUGAAGAGUCAGUGUAUAUGAACAAAACCAUGUUAUCAGAGUCACUUCAUUACUCCACUGUGGAGUUUCCAAACGGAGCAGGAAGUGAAAUCAGAGGACUUUCUGCUCUUACUACUGACUACGCCACCAUCAGACACAGCUCGGAACAACACACUGAGGGAGGAGCUACAGGACCAGUCAUUAAGGAAGUCCAGGAAGAAAAUCAGACAAAGUCAAACAGUAAAGAGGAGGAGGAGGACGAGGAAGAGGAGGAGGAGGAGGAGGAGGAGGAGGAGGAGGAGGAAACUUACGGAAACAUCACACGGGCAGACAACGAUGGAGCAAAUUCAUUUUGAUUUAGAUUACAGAACAAUAUGAUGCAGACCUCCAGGGAGAUCCUACAGGAAUCUGGUUACAAAGACUGGACCACCAUCUUCUAUGAUAUCAGUGAGACUGACAGUGGAACGUAUUACUUUAGAUUAGAUUAGAUUAGAUUAGAUUAGAUUAGAUUCAACUUUAUUAGAGGCUAUGGAAAGUCUAAAAGAACACAUAGACCAUCAGCAUCAGUAAGAGUUCAAGAAGGGGAAAAUUAUUGGCCUGUGUCAAGCAAGGAAAAGGGCAAAGGAGCUGAAACUACUAACCCUGUGUCCAGAAACCCUGGAAGCUUUGUGGAGAAACAUCUUCCAAGUGGUCAGAGAAAAGGAUGGAUUAUGAUAAGAAAUCACUUCAACUUUUGGUGAAAUUAAAUAAUAAAAAACAACAGUAGAACUUAA